rnacentral:rRNA from 1 species
AUUGAACGCUGGCGGCAUGCCUUACACAUGCAAGUCGAACGGUAACGGGCCUUCGGGUGCCGACGAGUGGCGAACGGGUGGGUAAUACAUCGGAACGUGCCCGAUCGUGGGGGAUAACGAGGCGAAAGCUUUGCUAAUACCGCAUACGAUCUACGGAUGAAAGCAGGGGACCGCAAGGCCUUGCGCGGACGGAGCGGCCGAUGGCAGAUUAGGUAGUUGGUGGGAUAAAAGCUUACCAAGCCGACGAUCUGUAGCUGGUCUGAGAGGAUGAUCAGCCACACUGGGACUGAGACACGGCCCAGACUCCUACGGGAGGCAGCAGUGGGGAAUUUUGGACAAUGGGCGCAAGCCUGAUCCAGACAUGCCGCGUGCAGGAUGAAGGCCUUCGGGUUGUAAACUGCUUUUGUACGGAACGAAAAGCCUUCUUUUAAUACAGGAGGGUCAUGACGGUACCGUAAGAAUAAGCACCGGCUAACUAAGUG